GGCUUGUGGCUCAGUGGUAGAGUGCUUGCCUGGCAUGUGUAAAGCCCUGAGUUCAAUCCUCAGCACCA
rnacentral:tRNA from 1 species